rnacentral:rRNA from 1 species
UUGAACGCUGGCGGCAGGCCUAACACAUGCAAGUCGCGCGGAUGAAGGGAGCUUGCUCCUGGAUUCAGCGGCGGACGGGUGAGUAAUGCCUAGGAAUCUGCCUGGUAGUGGGGGAUAACGUCCGGAAACGGGAGCUAAUACCGCAUACGUCCUGAGGGAGAAAGUGGGGGAUCUUCGGACCUCACGCUAUCAGAUGAGCCUAGGUCGGAUUAGCUAGUUGGUGGGGUAAAGGCCUACCAAGGCGACGAUCCGUAACUGGUCUGAGAGGAUGAUCAGUCACACUGGAACUGAGACACGGUCCAGACUCCUACGGGAGGCAGCAGUGGGGAAUAUUGGACAAUGGGCGAAAGCCUGAUCCAGCCAUGCCGCGUGUGUGAAGAAGGUCUUCGGAUUGUAAAGCACUUUAAGUUGGGAGGAAGGGCAGUAAGUUAAUACCUUGCUGUUUUGACGUUACCAACAGAAUAAGCACCGGCUAACUUCGUG